GAUGAACGCUGGCGGCGUCCCUAAUACAUGCAAGUCGAGCGAAUGGAUUAAGAGCUUGCUCUUAUGAAGUUAGCGGCGGACGGGUGAGUAACACGUGGGUAACCUGCCCAUAAGACUGGGAUAACUCCGGGAAACCGGGGCUAAUACCGGAUAACAUUUUGAACCGCAUGGUUCGAAAUUGAAAGGCGGCUUCGGCUGUCACUCAUGGAUGGACCCGCGUCGCAUAAGCUAGUUGGUGAGGUAACGGCUCACCAAGGCAACGAUGCGUAGCCGACCUGAGAGGGUGAUCGGCCACACUGGGACGGAGACACGGCCCAGACUCCUACGGGAGGCAGCAGUAGGGAAUCUUCCGCAAUGGACGAAAGUCUGACGGAGCAACGCCGCGUGAGUGAUGAAGGCUUUCGGGUCGUAAAACUCUGUUGUUAGGGAAGAACAAGUGCUAGUUGAAUAAGCUGGCACCUUGACGGUACCUAACCAGAAAGCCACGGCUAACUACGUGCCAGCCGCCGCGGUAA
rnacentral:rRNA from 1 species